GAAGGAGCGGGCAAAGGCAGGUCAGUAUGCCCCGAAACCCCUGGGCUACACGCGGGCUGCAAUGGUAUGAACAAUGGGCUGUGACUCCGAAAGGAGAAACCAAUCCCGAAAUCAUAUCUCAGUUGGAAUUGUCGGCUGUAACCCGCCGACAUGAACGCGGAAUCCCUAGUAAUCGUGUGUCAUCAACGCACGGUGAAUACGUCUCUGCUCCUUGCACACACCGCCCGUCGCUCCAUCCGAGUGUGCUAAAAAUGAGGUUUGGUCAAAUUGGUCAUAUCGAGUUUCUAGUAUGCGAGGAGGGAGAAGUCGUAACAAGGUAUCCAGCCUUACGAGGCGCAGCAGGCGCGAACCUCCGCAAUACACGAAAGUGUGACGGGGUUACCCAAAGUGUUCAAUAGAACUGUGGUAGGUGAGUAAUGUUCCCUACUAGAAAGGAGAGGGCAAGGCUGGUGCCAGCCGCCGCGGUAAAACCAGCUCUUCAAGUGGUCGGGAUAAUUAUUGGGCUUAAAGU
rnacentral:rRNA from 1 species